AUUGCCAUUCAUCCCCCUCUCCCUUAUUCACGUUACGCAAUGCAUUUCCAGACUCCGACUCUUCUUCCUGUCUCGCAACACUCAAAGUCAGUAUCCCGCCCAGGCGGAAUGAUACGGCAGCACUGCGUCCCCCUCGGAUGACCAGUCGCCCGCGUGGCCGAUCCUCCGGAUAGCCAGUCCCCUGCCAUCCAUCCUCCUCUGUCCUGCCCCAUUGCCGCCCAUCCCUCCUCCACCCCACCCACCCCACCCCCCCCCCCACACCCCCACACCCCGCCACUCCGGGUCGGGGUCGGAGUCCGGUGUGGAGAGCCCCUCAUCCCGGGGAAACGGGGCGGGGCGGGAAAGGGGGCCGCCCCCUCGCCCGUCACACACCGUGUUAUGGGCGGGCGAUUUUCCAGUAAGCCAGCAUUAAGUAUUUACUUCUGAUUCUGUUAACUGGGGCGUGGUAAUCUGCAGGGAUGUGUUGCUGGCUCUAUAAACUGCCUCUUCUGGGAGCCCGGGGCUGAUCUCUUCUAACCCUGCGUGGUAGAGAGUCAGUCGCCGGCCGGAUAAUAAAGGUUCACAAUUCAUCUCGAUUGGCUCUGUGGGUCUUUGAGUUGAUCGCACCACAACACAGUUUCCGGGGACCCAAAGUCUUUGGUUUCCGGGGUGAGUGUGGUUGCAAACCUGAACCUUAAAGGAAUCGGGAGAAGGAAGGGCCUCACGAGGAGUGGAGCUUGCGGCUCGAUUGACUCAACACGGGAAACCUCACCCGGCCCGGACACGGACAGGAUUGACAGAUUGAUAGCUCUUUCUCGAUUCCGUGGGUGGUGGUGCAUGGCCGUUCUUAGUUGGUGGAGCGAUUUGUCUGGUUAAUUCCGAUAACGAACGAGACUCUGGCAUGCUAACUAGUCACGUGACCCCCGAGCGGUCGGCGUCCCCCAGUUUCUUAGAGGGACAAGUGGCGUUCUGCCGCCCGAGAUUGAGCAAUAACAGGUCUGCGAUGCCCUUAGAUGUCCGAGGCUGCACGCGCGCUACACUGACUGGCUCAGCGUGUGCCCACCCUACGCCGGCAGGCGCGGGUAACCCGUUGAACCCCAUUCGUGAUGGGGAUCGGGGAUUGCAAUUAUUCCCCAUGAACGAGGAAUUCCCAGUAAGUGCGGGUCAUAAGCUUGCGUUGAUUAAGUCCCUGCCCUUUGUACACACCGCCCGUCGCUACUACCGAUUGGAUGGUUUAGUGAGGCCCUCGGAUCGGCCCCGCCGGGGUCGGCCCACGGCCCUGGCGGAGCGCUGAGAAGACGGUCGAACUUGACUAUCUAGAGGAAGUAAAAGUCGUAACGAGGUUUCCGUCGGUGAACCUGCGGAAG
rnacentral:rRNA from 1 species